rnacentral:rRNA from 1 species
GACGAACCGUGCGAACGUUGUUCGGAUUCACUGGGCUUAAAGGGCGCGUAGGCGGGCAUUCGAGUCCGGGGUGAAAUCUUUCGGCCCAACCGGAAAAGGGCCUCGGAUACCGAAUGUCUCGAGGGGGGUAGGGGCGUGUGGAACUUCCGGUGGAGCGGUGAAAUGCGUAGAUAUCGGAAGGAACGCCGGUGGCGAAAGCGACGCGCUGGACCCCUUCUGACGCUGAGGCGCGAAAGCCAGGGGAGCAAACGGG